GAUGAACGCUAGCGGGAGGCCUAACACAUGCAAGCCGAGCGGUAGAGAUUCUUCGGAAUCUUGAGAGCGGCGCACGGGUGCGGAACACGUGUGCAACCUGCCUUUAUCUGGGGGAUAGCCUUUCGAAAGGAAGAUUAAUACCCCAUAAUAUAUUGAGUGGCAUCACUUGAUAUUGAAAACUCCGGUGGAUAGAGAUGGGCACGCGCAAGAUUAGAUAGUUGGUGAGGUAACGGCUAACCAAGUCAAUGAUCUUUAGGGGGCCUGAGAGGGUGAGCCACCACACUGGUACUGAGACACGGACCAGACUCCUACGGGAGGCAGCAGUGAGGAAUAUUGGACAAUGGGUGAGAGCCUGAUCCAGCCAUCCCGCGUGAAGGACGACUGCCCUAUGGGUUGUAAACUUCUUUUAUACUGGGAUAACCCUACCCUCGUGAGGGUAGCUGAAGGUACAGUAUGAAUAAGCACCGGCUAACUCCGUGCCAGCCGCCGCAGUAAUAC
rnacentral:rRNA from 1 species